ncrna:unclassified sequences RT-2 RNA
UCUGACGGCAUCCGCCGCAGGACAAACAUAUACCACGAUACGGAAAGCCGGACGCUACUUGCAUGGACGCGGGGCGCGCGUUCCCCGCGUUUUCAUGGCUACGCCGUUACGCAUUUUAGACAGCGCGACAAGAAAGAAAUGUACGAGGUAUCAUUUUCCCAUGAACAGCAC